rnacentral:lncRNA from 10 species
CUCCGAGGCAGCACAGGGAAAAGAGGAGCUCACCGUAGGAUCUCACUUCCUCCUGCCUGAGACCUUCGAGGCAGCACAGGGAAAAGAGGGGCUCGCCGUAGCAUCUUACUUCCUCCGCCUGAGACCUCCGAGGCAGCACAAGGAGAAGAGGGGCUCGCCGUACGAUCUCGCUUUCUCCCGCUGCCUUGUUGGGGUGAGCCUGUCCUCACAGUCAACUGCAUUGGCUCAGUGUUCAUCCAAAGGAUUCCUCAGCCAAGAGGAUGAAGUUCAACAGAAGAACAUCCUCAAGUUAAUAAGAAGAUAGGGCCAACUAAAAGAAAAAAAGAAAGGAGGAAAAUGUGGAUAAAAUAGAAAGAGUGAAAAUAACAUUAAAGUUAAGUACCUGGAUCAUCGAAGUUUAAAACUCAAAUCUCUUUCACUCAUCUGUCAAAUCAGGUUAUUAAUACCUGUGGGGCAAAACUGCAGUGGGACGUCCUGAAGCAAAGCAUCAGCAUGUGCCUGUUCCACAGCAGACGCUUCAUAACAGGGUGGCUGUCAUUACCAAGGCAGACCGCAGACAGCUACAGCUUAAUCGAAGAGUUGAAAGGAGACUGUGAGAAGAUAAAACUGUGAAAACUGUGAAAUAUGGUUCAAUGAUUCAAAAGAGACCAAAUCACCAGUGUAAUCACUUAGGCCCCAGGAGAAAAAGGUAUAAAACCCAAACUAGAGUUUUGUUUUUUCCUGUUUUUGCUUGUUUGUUUGUUUUUUUGUUUUGGUUUGGUUUGGUUAAAAAUGAAGCAGUGGACGUCAUGCAGACACAACUGGUGUUCCCCAAGGACACCAGUCACGUUGGAUGACCUCAUUUUAACUUGAUCAUAAAGACCUUAUCUCCUCAUAAGGUCACAUUCUGAGGUACUAGAUGCUAAGGAGUCAACACAUGAACAUCGCAGGGACACAAUUCAGCCCUAAACAAUGGCUCACCUCCUAUUUCUGGUGGACAGCACUGCAGUUGCCUACAAGUAAGCUUAGUGAACCUCGCCCUACGCGUUCUCCCACCAACCUUUGGAAAUAGCUGGCUCACUUCUGGGAGGCUCAGGCUGAAAGGACUCAUUUUGUCAAUUAAUUCUACAAAUCACUUCUGAGAGUCUAGUCUCUGCUAGAAUCUGGGCUGGAUUCUGAAAGUGAGCAAGUCCCAGUGUGAGCACGGCUCAGGGGUCAGACAGAUGCCGCCCCUUGUUAGCAGAGUGCUUACAGGCAAGUUGCCUUGGCACAGCAGCUUCAGACUUGUGUGAUGAGAAAACAGAGGCUUACCCUCCAAUGUGCAUGCCGGCGCCUUUGAAAGCGAUGGUCACACAGUAGCCACCUGCUUCCACCACUGCGAGCAGUGAGGUCCCUUUCACAGGUGGUGUUUAAGCAGAGGCUGGGUGAUCUCUUCUCAGGAAGGCUCUUCUGUAGUCACAGGGCCCACUGGAUAAUCCAGGGUCAUCUCUUCAUCUCAAGAUCUCUCAUCUCAUCUUCAGUCUCUUUAGUCAUAUAAGGUAACACUCACAGGUUCCAGGGAUUAGGAUCUGGAUAUCUUUGAGGACCAUUAUCCAGCCUACCACAGAGCCCCUAGGACUGGCCAGGCCAAUCUGCUCUUUCAAAAAUGGGGAAACUGAGGCAUAUAGCAUGUUGUGCUCAGCCAGUCUCUCAGGGAACUGGCUACAGGGCUGAUUCAUGGUGACCUGGGGCUGGGAGUUUGUGCCUGCCUCUGUAUGGGACAAGAGGGCACAAAGACCACCUCGAGGCAAUGGGGUGGGAGGAGACCACCUAAACUCUGCUUGGCCUUUGCUUCUGGGCCAUAGGGAGAGAGGCAGGGAAGUGCUUGGCCAGUGUCUAAGAGCUGCCUCCCUGGAGCCAAGCUGCAAUUCAGUGGUUUUCAAAUGUUUUGGUCUCAUUCUUAAAAAUCAUUGAGGACUCCAAAGAGCUUUUGUUUAUGUGGGUCAUACAUAGCUAUAAACAUUCACCAUAUUAGAAAUUAAAACUGAAAAAUGUAAAUAUAUAUACUAAUUCAUUUAAAAUAAAACAUAAACCUGUGCAUGUUAACAUGCAUAUUUUAAGGGAAAAAACCCCUAUAGUUUCUUUUUAAAUGUUACUUAUUUAAUUUUUAGAGAUGGGACCUCACUCUAUCACCCAGGCUGGAGUGUAGUGGUGCUAUCAUAGAUAACUGUAACCUUGAAUUCCUGGGCUCAGGUGAUUCUCCCACCUCCAUCUUCCAAGUAGCUAGGACUAUAGGCAUGUACCAUCAAACCCAUCUAAUUAAAAAAUAUAUAUAUAUAUAUUUUGUAGAGACAGUCUCGCUAUGUUGUCCAGGCCCAUUUCAAGUGAUCCUCCUGCCUUGGCCUUCCAAAGCUCUGGGAUUAUAAGAGUGAGACACCACACCAGCUUAAAAACAACUAUAUUUUCUAAAACAAAAAAUUUACUGAGAAGAAUGACUGUUUCACACUUUGGCAAGUCUUUUUAAUGUCUGGCUUAAUAAAAGAAGAAUUCUCCUGUCUGCUUCUGUUUUCAGUCUGUUGUGAUAUGUUGCAUUGAUUGAAGGAUAUAAAGAAAAUCUAGCUUCACCAAGAUAUAUAAUUGGAAAAGGGAGGAGUAUUAUAAUUGCCUUUUCAGGUAAUUGUGAAUAUUUAGUUUUGAUUGGUACAUCAGCAUUUGACAAAUGUCAGUUUCUUUUAAAAUUUCAAUGUGGAAUCUGAAAUCAUG